rnacentral:rRNA from 1 species
CACGUAGGGCGCAAGCGUUGUCCGGAAUUAUUGGGCGUAAAGAGCUCGUAGGCGGUCUGUUGCGUCCGCUGUGAAAACUCGGGGCUUAACCCCGAGCCUGCAGUGGAUACGGGCAGACUAGAGGUAGGUAGGGGAGAAUGGAAUUCCCGGUGUAGCGGUGAAAUGCGCAGAUAUCGGGAGGAACACCGGUGGCGAAGGCGGUUCUCUGGGCAUGUCCUGGACGCUGAGGAGCGAAAGUGUGGGGAGCAAACAGG